UCAGCUCUCCUUCAGAUCCAUCAGACUCACUGCAGACCCACAGAGGAUCGACUCAUUUUAUUUCUGACCACGAUCAGACUUCACAGAAGCUCUGUGGACUCAAACAGAAUACAACAGGUGAGGCAGGUGGAUGAUCAUGGAGGCACAACGAGGUCUAUCAGGCAAAUCCAACCACGUCAGCCUGCAGCAGGUGGAGGACGUCCAAGCAGCUGUGCUGCUGUCCAGG